UACGGGGGGGGCGAGCGUUGUUCGGAAUCACUGGGCGUAAAGGGCGCGUAGGCGGCCCGCACAAGUCUGCGGUGAAAACCCCCGGCUUAACCGGGGGCCGGCCGUGGAAACUGUCGGGCUAGAGGCCGGGAGAGGGCAGCGGAAUUCCCGGUGUAGCGGUGAAAUGCGUAGAGAUCGGGAGGAACACCGGCGGCGAAGGCGGCUGCCUGGACCGGCCCUGACGCUGAGGCGCGAAAGCUAGGGGGAGCAAACAGG
rnacentral:rRNA from 1 species